UGCCAUUGGCCAGCAUGUAGUUCCAGUACCUUAUGGUUGAGGAAAAGUUAUAUAGAGAUCUAUCCAGAUAUGCUGCCACUGCAAAUGCUCAUGUGCAAAAUUUACUCUCUUUCGCAUUGCACUAUCAUCAUUGUCACUCCAUGAGUAUCCAGGUGCUAAUGUGGAUAUACAUUUCAUUCCAAAAACUCAGAGGGCUGAUUCAAUUCCAAACAUGCAGUCAAUUAUUGCUGCUUUAGAUGGGGAAAUGGUGGCUCAUGGAGAUCUGGGUGUUGAACUUCCGGUUGAGGAAGUACCUUUACUACAGGGUGUUGUAAAGAAUAUCAUCCCAGCCAUGCAAUUAUUUCUGCUGCUUGUGCAUUGGAAGCUUUAAAGCUCGUCUCUGGCUGCAGCAGAAGUGUGUCAAAUUAUCUCACGUUGCCUCUGGGAGCCGCAUACAGUCGGUUCGGGUGUAUUUACCUGUAGUAUGCAUGGCAGUUGCAGCAGCUUGCCAAUUAGUACCCACCAAAGAUUUGGCGGUCCAUCUUCUCCGAGCAAAGCAUAGGCCACGGAUCCGCUACUCAGCUCUAAUUUUGUAGCAGCCUGACAGUUGGCGAGAGAACAGUUCGGGACGGGGCUACCUUACCGGAGAUCUUGACGGUUUGGAGUUAGAAUGCCAAAUCCUAAUUUUCUAUUUAACCCCUUUGCCUUAUUUAUAUGUAUUUUAUAGCUUAGACAGCAUCACAGUAGAACUAAA